rnacentral:rRNA from 1 species
ACUCGGGUGAAGGAACUAGGCAAAAUGGUGCCGUAACUUCGGGAGAAGGCACGCUGGCAUUAGGUAAAGGGACUUGCUCCCGGCGCCGAAGCCAGUCGCAGAUACCAGCUGGCUGCAACUGUUUAAUAAAAACACAGCACUGUGCAAACACGAAAGUGGACGUAUACGGUGUGACGCCUGCCCGGUGCUGGAAGGUUAAUUGAUGGGGUCAGCCGCAAGGCGAAGCUCUUGAUCGAAGCCCCAGUAAACGGCGGCCGUAACUAUAACGGUCCUAAGGUAGCGAAAUUCCUUGUCGGGUAAGUUCCGACCUGCACGAAUGGCGUAAUGAUGGCCAGGCUGUCUCCACCCGAGACUCAGUGAAAUUGAACUCGCUGUGAAGAUGCAGUGUACCCGCGGCAAGACGGAAAGACCCCGUGAACCUUUACUAUAGCUUGACACUGAACAUUGAGCCUUGAUGUGUAGGAUAGGUGGGAGGCAUAGAAGUGUGGACGCCAGUCUGCAUGGAGCCAACCUUGAAAUACCACCCUUUAAUGUUUGAUGUUCUAACUCGGCCCCGUAAUCCGGGGUGAGGACAGUGUCUGGUGGGUAGUUUGACUGGGGCGGUCUCCUCCCAAAGAGUAACGGAGGAGCACGAAGGUUAGCUAAUCACGGUCGGACAUCGUGAGGUUAGUGCAAAGGCAUAAGCUAGCUUGACUGCGAGAGUGACGGCUCGAGCAGGUACGAAAGUAGGUCUUAGUGAUCCGGUGGUUCUGAAUGGAAGGGCCAUCGCUCAACGGAUAAAAGGUACUCCGGGGAUAACAGGCUGAUACCGCCCAAGAGUUCAUAUCGACGGCGGUGUUUGGCACCUCGAUGUCGGCUCAUCACAUCCUGGGGCUGAAGUAGGUCCCAAGGGUAUGGCUGUUCGCCAUUUAAAGUGGUACGCGAGCUGGGUUUAGAACGUCGUGAGACAGUUCGGUCCCUAUCUGCCGUGGGCGUUGGAAGAUUGAGAGGGGCUGCUCCUAGUACGAGAGGACCGGAGUGGACGAAUCACUGGUGUUCGGGUUGUCAUGCCAAUGGCAUUGCCCGGUAGCUAAAUUCGGAAGAGAUAACCGCUGAAAGCAUCUAAGCGGGAAACUUGCCUCGA